ACGAGGUCGAAGACCCUUUGCCCACCGCGUAUUCCGCAUCCACGAGAUCGGGCGAACGAUAGCGGGCCGCGACAAGAGCNNAAGAAACACAUGCAAAUGCCGCGUAACGCAAUCGUCGCCUAAGGGUUCACCCGGAGCAGAACCGUUUAGAACGGCCAGCACGAGGGCGAACGGUACAAAUUUCGCCAAACGAAUUCCAUCAUCGUAGGUAUGCAACACAGGAAACCGCACGCGACGGACGAGGCUAAAGUCGCUCUCGCACCAACUAGUGAAGAGGAACGCACGGGAGGACAUCGCUGCCCUAGCAGGGAUCC
rnacentral:misc_RNA from 1 species